rnacentral:rRNA from 2 species
AAGGCUUGACAUACAUCGGAAGACUGCAGAGAUGUGGUUGCCUUCGGGUCGGUGUACAGGUGGUGCAUGGUU